rnacentral:rRNA from 1 species
CCUACGGGAGGCAGCAGUGGGGAAUAUUGCACAAUGGGCGAAAGCCUGAUGCAGCAACGCCGCGUGAAGGAAGAAGGCCUUCGGGUCGUAAACUUCUGUCCUUGGGGAAGAAGAACUGACGGUACCCAAGGAGGAAGCCCCGGCUAACUACGUGCCAGCAGCCGCGGUAAUACGUAGGGGGCAAGCGUUAUCCGGAAUUAUUGGGCGUAAAGAGUACGUAGGUGGCAACCUAAGCGCAGGGUUUAAGGCAAUGGCUCAACCAUUGUUCGCCCUGCGAACUGGGAUGCUUGAGUGCAGGAGAGGAAAGCGGAAUUCCUAGUGUAGCGGUGAAAUGCGUAGAUAUUAGGAGGAACACCAGUGGCGAAGGCAGCCUACUAAACUGCCACUGACAUUGAUGCUCGAAAGUGUGGGUAUCAAACAGGAUUAGAUACCCGAGUAGUC